GUGCUCACUUCGGCAGCACAUAUACUAAAAUUGGAACAAUACAGAGAAGAUCAGCAUGGCCCCUGCGCAAGGAUGACACGCAAAUUCGUGAAGCGUUCCAUAAUUCU
rnacentral:snRNA from 1 species